GGAGAGUGGUUACCAUAGAGAUAGAAGUUACACUUCAAUUCUCAAGAGGUUUAAAGAUGCGUUCAUUUAAGAAGCCAGACGAGGUGAUAAAUGAUGGAUCCCUGUGGCUGCAGCCGUAGCUCUUCCUGGCUCUGCUCUGGAACUUGUCUCGUAGGUCAAAAGUUGUUGCGGAUCUUUGAGGAACACCAAAAGAACUGUGAUGUUAUCAGUGGAUCCAGCAGCUUUAGCAUGGGCCACCAGAGUCUGGGCCACAUCGUCCCCCGAGCCUCCGGCCUCCCUCAGAGCCUCCAGGACCAGCCCCGGGACGUCCCCAGGCUGGACCACGUCAAAGAAGCCGUCACAAGCAAGCAGAAUGUAAUCUUCAUGUCCAUUCAGCUGGAUCGAGGAGCUAUCAGCUUCGUUAGAGACGUACGGCUUCUGAUCAAAAUCACCUAUUGAGGGAGCUUUUGAAGGCUGUGGCAGCAUCGCUUUUUAGUGCCUCCUGCUGGCUGAGUACAAUAUGCAGG